GGUAAUCUACUAUAUGUAGCUUAUAUAAAGCCAAAAUUGGUUGGCAGUUUCUACCUAAGACCGUAAUCUUAGACUAUGAGUAUCAAAGUAGAUCAC
rnacentral:ncRNA from 2 species